rnacentral:rRNA from 1 species
CAAUAGCGUAUAUUAAAGUUGUUGCAGUUAAAAAGCUCGUAGUUGGAUUUCUGGUAGGAGUGACCGUGCCAGACUUGAUUGUCUGUGUAUUGUGUUGUCUCCAGCCAUCCUUGUGGAGAACUUUUCUUGCAUUAAUUUGUAGGGAUUGGGACCCGCAUCGUUUACUGUGAAAAAAUUAGAGUGUUUAAAGCAGGCAAUCGCUUGAAUACAUUAGCAUGGAAUAAUACGAUAGGACUUUGGUACUAUUUUGUUGGUUUGCAUACCAAAUUAAUGAUCAACAGGAACAGUUUGAGGAUAUUCGUAUGAACAUGUCAGAGGUGAAAUUCUUGGAUUUUGAUCAGACGAACUACUGCGAAAGCAUUUAUCAAGGAUGUUUUCAUUGA